AUUGAACGCUGGCGGCAGGCCUAACACAUGCAAGUCGAGCGGAUGAGGGGUGCUUGCACCCUGAUUCAGCGGCGGACGGGUGAGUAAUGCCUAGGAAUCUGCCCGAUAGUGGGGGACAACGUUUCGAAAGGAACGCUAAUACCGCAUACGUCCUACGGGAGAAAGUGGGGGCUCUUCGGACCUCACGCUAUCGGAUGAGCCUAGGUCGGAUUAGCUAGUUGGUGGGGUAAAGGCUCACCAAGGCGACGAUCCGUAACUGGUCUGAGAGGAUGAUCAGUCACACUGGAACUGAGACACGGUCCAGACUCCUACGGGAGGCAGCAGUGGGGAAUAUUGGACAAUGGGCGAAAGCCUGAUUCAGCCAUGCCGCGUGUGUGAAGAAGGUCUUCGGAUUGUAAAGCACUUUAAGUCGGGAGGAAGGGCUGCAGGUUAAUACCUUGCAGCCUUGACGUUACCGACAGAAUAAGCACCGGCUAACUUCGUGCCAGCCGCCGCAGUAACAC
rnacentral:rRNA from 1 species